CUCACCAGAUUACCGGAAGACGCUUGCAGGGACGCGGUCGUGCAGGAAAUUAUUUGGCAUUAGAUUCAAAUGUUAACUGUAAGACUGUGUCUUUGCGGGUGAUCAUUGGCAGCGGUUAUC
rnacentral:miRNA from 11 species